GGGAGACUGAGGGUCCAUCAUGCCUGCUCAAAACGUGGCAAGGACUCAAGGGUCAAGGUUGGCCUGGGAGGUCAAGUUCUGGGGACUGCCCCCUUGGACCUUUACUGGGUAGAUAGCCUUGGCUCACAGUUCAAACCUUUCCAUCUCAAGACCCACCCAAGAAAGGCUCACAUAUGAUAUCUCUGACUUCUGAAGGAAGAACCCUACCAUGAAGCGGGUGGCUCACUUCUGUCUUUUGCUCUGUUCCAAACCUCCCACUUGACCAUACAUGCCAAGGUUUGGAAGUGAUGGAGAUUGCACUUUAGCUCAUCCAGUGACCCAAUCUCUGUAGAUGAACGUUUGUGGCCUCCUGAAACAUGGCAGCAUGUGCACCCCCUAGCACCUUUGAUUUUGUGGCUUCUCAGCCUCCCUUUGUUCACCAACUUUUAAACAUGUUUUCUGGUUUCUAUACGGUGACUUCAGAGUCCGUGUUUCCCUGUAUUUGACAACUGUAAAGUAAACCUGGAGCCUUACAGCUAACUUUCAUGUUGGUACAGAUUUUCUGUGACUAGAUUCAUUUACUCUGCCAGCAAAUGUUUUUCAGGUACCAAGGUACAAAGUGUUCUGUGAGGCACAUUUGGAGGCAAAGAGGAUCUCCCUCAGACCAUCCCUCUUCUUGCUACUGGGUCCAGUGUUUGCCCCGAUUAUUCUCCCUGAUCCAGAAAAGUGGACUUUGGGGGAUGGGGGUGGGGGACACAUGAGCAAGCAGCAGCCUCUAGAAACUGCCAGCAGAGGGCUGGACGAGGACCCAAGGCUUCAUCGGCUGUGAAGCACUGAGUCACUGAUGGACAUGGUGACUCGAUGGGAAUGCUUCUAAAAAUGUCUUUCAGGAGGGAUUUUUUUCUUUUCAGACAAAAUACCACCUCCUCUCAGCUUCUCCCCAGUAUAGCUCAUUCCUCUACAGGGCAAAUCAUAAAUACUGUACGGUGAAUUGCUCGUCUGUUAGCCAGCCGCCCUCCAGCUCCAGAGUGUGGCCUCAGAACUCCCUGGAUGACGCCUCACCUCCUGGCCAGAUGGUGAAUGGGGCUCUGUGUGGAGGGGAUGCAGUCUGGGCAGAGCAGGCAAAGCUGGGAGGCAAGUGGCA
rnacentral:lncRNA from 1 species